rnacentral:sRNA from 1 species
AUGGCCCUCAAUCUUCGUAAAAACCACCCACUAUUCAAAACCAUCAACGAUGCCCUAAUCGACCUCCCCACACCAUCAAACAUCUCAGCUUGAUGGAAUUUCGGGUCAUUACUAGGCAUCUGUCUAAUCACACAAAUCAUCACCGGCCUGCUACUAGCUACACACUAUACAGCAGACACCUCCCUAGCUUUCAACUCAGUCGCCCACCUGUGCCGAAAUGUCCAAUUUGGCUGACUAAUCUGAAACCUUCACGCAAACAGAGCCUCAUUUUUCUUUAUUUGCAUCUACCUCCACAUUGGCCGAGGCUUCUACUAUGGUUCUUACCUCAACAAAGAAACCUGAAACGUUGGAGUCAUUGUCCUUCUAGUAUUAAUAGCAACUGCUUUCGUAGGAUACGUCCUGCCCUGAGGACAAAUAUCGUUCUGAGGGGCUACAGUAAUUACCAACUUAUUCUCAGCAAUCCCAUACAUUGGCCAAACAUUAGUAGAAUGAGCCUGAGGGGGAUUCUCAGUAGAUAAUCCCACACUAACCCGAUUCUUCGCCCUCCACUUCCUACUCCCAUUCCUAAUUGUAGGCCUCACACUAGUACAUCUCACAUUCCUACACAAAACAGGCUCAAACAACCCACUAGGCAUCCCCGCAGACUGCAACAAAAUUCCAUUCCACCCCUACUACUCCACAAAAGAUAUCCUCGGAUUUGCACUAAUACUCAUCCCCCUCAUCGCCCUCGCCCUCUUCUCCCCCAACCUACUAGGAGACCCAGAAAACUUCACACCAGCCAACCCACUAGCCGCACCGCCCCACAUCAAACCCGAAUGAUACUUCCUAUUUGCAUACGCCAUCAUACGCUCCAUCCCAAACAAACUAGGAGGAGUACUAGCUCUAGCCACUUCUGUCCUAGUCCUAUUCCUCACCCCAGUGCUACACACAUCCAAACAACGCUCACUAACCUUCCGACCCAUCUCACAAGUCUUAUUCUGAACACUAGUCGCCAACCUAUUUAUCCUAACUUGAGUAGGAAGCCAACCAGUUGAGCACCCAUUCAUUAUCAUCGGCCAAUUAGCCUCCCUAUCCUACUUCACAAUCAUCCUAAUCCUAUUCCCACUUGCAGCCGUACUAGAGAACAAAAUACUAAACCUCUAA